UUUUAAGGCAGAAUUAAGGGGGGGGAGAUUAGAAAAAUGGGGUUCAACCAAACACGACAGACAUGCUGAUACCUGCCAUGUCCGCAGCCUCCAUACCUGUCACCAAACUCCUCAUCCGCCAUGUCAAAGGUUAAGGUGACAAUGAAAAGGAAGUGGACAAUAGAAGCCUGCAAUUGAAAGGGGCCUUGUCAGCAACAAGAAAGAAAUGGUCACACAGUCAAUAUCCUUGGGCGAUCUUUCAGCAACCACUGAUGGUCCCAACCUCCAGGUUGAUGAACUGAGAAAUUCCUUUGACUUUCAGACCCAGAAAUUCCAGAAAGACAAUCAAUGGAUGAAAGAUCAGCGCGUGGAUCAAUUUAAGACCACAGCAGAAGACCUGCAGAAAACCUGCAGAAGAUCAUGCCAUCAGUUGGAGCUAAAGAACACAUCUUUGGUGAAAUGCAGUGAAGAACUCCAUAAAUAACUAUCUGAGCCAAGUGUCCAUCUUAAACAAGAGAAGGCUGACUUUGAGAAAGACCUCAAAGAGGUGAGGAACCUUCUGCCAGAACUUAAAAAGCACCUCCAGAGUCUGCAGCAUGAACUGGCUGAGAUGGACUACAGUGUAGUGGAGAAAAGCCACUCCAGCCAACUGAGAAAGUCACCCUCUUCAGACUAUGAGGGGAAACAAGAAGAAGUACCUCAAAAGUCUGCAGCAGCCACUUCCGAUCUCUCAGAUCUGGUUCUGGCCAGACUCACCUGGCACACAAGGUAGCAACCCCCCCCCCCAUCUUUUCCCAGGUACACCAGAUUGGAAACAUGAUGUAACUCUAGUUUAUUGGAAGGGUACAUAAGAGAAUCUUGCAUGUCUGAAAGUACAAAUCUCCCGCCAAUGCUUUUGAAAGCCUGAAAAGUGAGGGAGGGUUCUUUCUGAGGUUCUUCCUCUGCCAAUUAUGCACCUGGGGGCUCCCCCACCUUAUCUCACUAUUCCCUAUUCAGCAUCUUCUCCUUCUCUCCCCCAAGGUCAUUUAGUGAUUUUUAUUUAUUUGUUUCUAUCCUGCCUUAAUUAUUUUUACAAAUAACUCAAGGCAGUGAGCAUAUCAAACACACCUUCCUUCUAUUUCCCCUCACAACAAGAACCCUGUGAGGUAAUAGGUAUAGUGACUGAACUUGAACUCAGGAUCUCCCUCUUUCUAGCCUGGUGCCAUACUUUAUUUGCACAUAUCAUUACACUUCCUUAAUAAUUUGUGGGAAUGCUGGUGAUAUACCUUGAUUCUGCAAAGUAAACUACUUCCUGAUAAUUAAGUUAAUUAAUUAAGAUAAUGCCUCAUAAAACUGAGGAGGUAUGAAUA